AGAGUUUGAUCCUGGCUCAGGAUGAACGCUGGCGGCGUGCCUAAUACAUGCAAGUCGAGCGAACGGACGAGAAGCUUGCUUCUCUGAUGUUAGCGGCGGACGGGUGAGUAACACGUGGAUAACCUACCUAUAAGACUGGGAUAACUUCGGGAAACCGGAGCUAAUACCGGAUAAUAUUUUGAACCGCAUGGUUCAAAAGUGAAAGACGGUCUUGCUGUCACUUAUAGAUGGAUCCGCGCUGCAUUAGCUAGUUGGUAAGGUAACGGCUUACCAAGGCAACGAUGCAUAGCCGACCUGAGAGGGUGAUCGGCCACACUGGAACUGAGACACGGUCCAGACUCCUACGGGAGGCAGCAGUAGGGAAUCUUCCGCAAUGGGCGAAAGCCUGACGGAGCAACGCCGCGUGAGUGAUGAAGGUCUUCGGAUCGUAAAACUCUGUUAUUAGGGAAGAACAUAUGUGUAAGUAACUGUGCACAUCUUGACGGUACCUAAUCAGAAAGCCACGGCUAACUACGUGCCAGCAGCCGCGGUAAUACGUAGGUGGCAAGCGUUAUCCGGAAUUAUUGGGCGUAAAGCGCGCGUAGGCGGUUUUUUAAGUCUGAUGUGAAAGCCCACGGCUCAACCGUGGAGGGUCAUUGGAAACUGGAAAACUUGAGUGCAGAAGAGGAAAGUGGAAUUCCAUGUGUAGCGGUGAAAUGCGCAGAGAUAUGGAGGAACACCAGUGGCGAAGGCGACUUUCUGGUCUGUAACUGACGCUGAUGUGCGAAAGCGUGGGGAUCAAACAGGAUUAGAUACCCUGNUAGUCCACGCCGUAAACGAUGAGUGCUAAGUGUUACGGGGAUUUCCGCCCCUUAGUGCUGCAGCUAACGCAUUAAGCACUCCGCCUGGGGAGUACGACCGCAGCAGUGAAACUCAAGCAUGGACGGGACCCGCACAGCGUGAGCAUGUGGUUUAUCGAGCACGCGAGAACUCGCGAAGAACCUUACCAAAUCUUGACAUCCUUUGACAACUCUAGAGAUAGAGCUUUCCCCUUCGGGGGACAAAGUGACAGGUGGUGCAUGGUUGUCGUCAGCUCGUGUCGUGAGAUGUUGGGUUAAGUCCCGCAACGAGCGCAACCCUUAAGCUUAGUUGCCAUCAUUAAGUUGGGCACUCUAAGUUGACUGCCGGUGACAAACCGGAGGAAGGUGGGGAUGACGUCAAAUCAUCAUGCCCCUUAUGAUUUGGGCUACACACGUGCUACAAUGGACAAUACAAAGGGCAGCGAAACCGCGAGGUCAAGCAAAUCCCAUAAAGUUGUUCUCAGUUCGGAUUGUAGUCUGCAACUCGACUACAUGAAGCUGGAAUCGCUAGUAAUCGUAGAUCAGCAUGCUACGGUGAAUACGUUCCCGGGUCUUGUACACACCGCCCGUCACACCACGAGAGUUUGUAACACCCGAAGCCGGUGGAGUAACCUUUUAGGAGCUAGCCGUCGAAGGUGGGACAAAUGAUUGGGGUGAAGUCGUAACAAGGUAGCCGUA
rnacentral:rRNA from 1 species